AACGAACGCUGGCGGCAUGCCUAACACAUGCAAGUCGAACGAGACCUUCGGGUCUAGUGGCGCACGGGUGCGUAACGCGUGGGAACCUGCCUUUAGGUUCGGAAUAACUCAGAGAAAUUUGAGCUAAUACCGGAUGAUGUCUUCGGACCAAAGAUUUAUCGCCUUUAGAUGGGCCCGCGUUGGAUUAGCUGGUUGGUGGGGUAAAGGCCUACCAAGGCGACGAUCCAUAGCUGGUCUGAGAGGAUGAUCAGCCACACUGGGACUGAGACACGGCCCAGACUCCUACGGGAGGCAGCAGUGGGGAAUAUUGGACAAUGGGCGAAAGCCUGAUCCAGCAAUGCCGCGUGAGUGAUGAAGGCCUUAGGGUUGUAAAGCUCUUUUACCCGAGAUGAUAAUGACAGUAUCGGGAGAAUAAGCUCCGGCUAACUCCGUG
rnacentral:rRNA from 1 species